AACAACAAAAAAAUUAAGCAAUUAAUCCAAACUCAAUAAUUACACCACCGCCAACUCCGACUCAGACACAACAAACACAGCAAUUACACCACCACCAACUCCAACUCAGAACACAACAAACAGAAAAAAAUAGCAACUCAAGAAUCAAAUUUCAGAUUUUAGAUUUCAGUAACUCAGUAAAAUUAAUAAAAUAAGCAACCAUAAAUUGAAGCAAACAUAGAUUUCAACAGUGAUUACUCAUAAUUAUAAAUAUUAUUCGUUUAUUCCAUGCUCCAGAAUCAUUAAAAAACAAAAACUCAAGAUCAUAAAAUUAACAAAAGAAAAAAAAACUGAACAAGCAGAGCUACCGACAACGACGGAGGAACCAAACUGACAUUGAUGGAGGAAGAAAACAGGCAGCGAGGAAGGAACGAAACUCAACUGCCGGCGAGAGGAACGUCGAGAUAGAGACGAGGAUCGAGCAAACUGACCAGCAAUGGAGGAAUCAAACUGACGGCGACGAUGGCCCCCUCUGGCUAAGGGGAAGAGUUCGGCAAUGGCUGCUGGCUAUUGCUGCUGGCUCAGAGAGAGGGGUAGUGGUUUUCGGCGACUGGAGCAGGUGGCUGGUGAGAAAGGGAUUUAGGGUUGGGUUGGAGUCACACAUAGAGUCAGAGAGAAAGGGUGGGGUGGGGACGACAAGCUUGCACAGGCAAAGGGAAGGGGACGACGACGGAGAGGGGGAAUGCGGUGGCUGGGUAGGAGGAGAGCGAAGCUGGGAGAGUGGGAGACGGCUGGGAGAGGAAGAAUGAUUUCAGAAGGGAGUACGUGUUAGGGUUGGAUUUCGGGCUAG
rnacentral:lncRNA from 1 species